UCAUGACUUUGGUUGUAGUCGUAACAAGGUAGCCCUAGGGGAACCUGGGGCUGGAUCACCUCCUUAUACGA
rnacentral:rRNA from 1 species